rnacentral:rRNA from 1 species
AGAACGAACGCUGGCGGCAGGCCUAACACAUGCAAGUCGAACGCUCUCGCAAGAGAGAGUGGCGCACGGGUGCGUAACGCGUGGGAAUGUACCUCUAGGUACGGAACAACCCAGGGAAACUUGGGCUAAUACCGUAUAAUAUCUUCGGAUCAAAGAUUUAUCGCCUAGAGAUCAGCCCGCGUAGGAUUAGCUAGUUGGUGAGGUAAUGGCUCACCAAGGCUACGAUCCUUAGCUGGUCUGAGAGGAUGAUCAGCCACACUGGAACUGAGACACGGUCCAGACUCCUACGGGAGGCAGCAGUGAGGAAUAUUGGACAAUGGGGGCAACCCUGAUCCAGCCAUGCCGCGUGAGUGAUGAAGGCCUUCGGGUUGUAAAACUCUUUUAGGUGUGACGAUGAUGACGGUAACACCAGAAAAGCUACCGGCUAACUUCGUGCCAGCAGCCGC